CCUGCCCAGUGAAUAGUUUUAACGGCCGCGGUACCCUGACCGUGCAAAGGUAGCAUAAUCAUUUGCCUUAUAAUUGAAGGCUGGCAUGAAUGGUCUGACGAGAGCAACACUGUCUCCUCUUUAUUACCUAAAAAUUAACCUAUAGGUGAAGAGGCCUAUAUAAAAUUGAAGGACAAGAAGACCCUGUCGAGCUUAAAAGAAAAGUAGAGGUUAGUUAUCAGAAGAGAUCAAUAAACUACAUAGCUUUUUAGUUGGGGCGACUAAGGAACAAAUAAAGCUUCUUUUACUUCUGUAAAUUUAUGGAUUCAGAUCCAGCAAAGCUGAUCAGAAAAAUUAGUUACCGCAGGGAUAACAGCAUAAUCUCCUUUGAGAGACCUAAUCGAAAAGGGGGGUUGUGACCUCGAUGUUGGACUAGAAUAUCCUGAAGAUGCAGACGUCUUCAAAGGUUGGUCUGUUCGACCAUUAAAAUUCUACGU
rnacentral:rRNA from 1 species